rnacentral:lncRNA from 1 species
AAACAGGAUUCUGGCCUGAUCCACCCUGUGCUCUGUCUCUCCCUCUGUUCCACCAGUUUCUCCUCCAAAGUCCUCCAUCUCGGGAUGUGGCACUGAGGGCCGCAGCCCAAGAGCCAUUUGCAGGGCUGAUCUUUGCCACACAGCCCCUUUCCGGUCCUUCACCGGGUCCAUUUCCAUUGCCAACAUUCCCUUUGAGGCCAUCAUUUGCUCUUGGCUGGACCAGUGCCGUGGACUUGGCUCCUGUCAAAUCUUUUCUUGUUUCCGUGCUCCCCACUCUCCACACUGCAGCUGGGGACCUCCUCCCGGCAGCAGCCAGAUCGAAUCACCGACCGCCUCCCUCCUUGGUUCACGCUCUCAAAGCCUUGCAGUAGUUCCCUGCUGGAAUUAUUGGCUGGAAGCUGGGAGUUCAGCAACAAAGGCUCUGAACUGGGGCGAUUUUGCCCGCCCUCACCCCCUGGAAAUUGGCAGUGUUUGGAGACCUUCUUGGUUGUCACCACUAGGGGCGCUACUGGCAUCUAAUGUGUAGAGACCUGGGAUGCGGCUUGACACCCCGCAAUGUACAGGAGAGCACCCACCAACGGCAAACAAAGUCCAGUCCUGAAUGUCAAUCAUGAGAAGGAUGAGAAACCCCGGCCGGAAGGAUCCUAGCGUUUAAGAGGAAAGCGCAAGGGACGCUGCCUCCAGCUCAACUGGAAAGUUCUGGAGCCGACAGCCGCCCCUCCACAUUAGUGAACGCCUUCAUUCAGCUGCCAGCUGCUGCCCGCAUCUGGACGGAGAGACACAGCACAGAGCAGCUCGGCUGGGAGCCUGCGCGCUGCUCCCAAGGAAGCCUGGGUUCUUCGAGUUUACAUCACCUCCAGCAGGUUCGACCCCGAGCAAGGAAUAAAACAACUAAAAACCAGAGCCGUGUGCGCUGGGGGGUUGUCGUCCCGAAGGUCCCAGGGGAUGGCAGAGGAAAGCCUUGCACCAUCAGGCUGCACAUGGCUGCCCCAGAGUUUGCAGGCAACAAAGGCCUCUGAUUUAUUCCCCCAAGUUGGUAGCUUGAAGUGAAACCAAGGUAAGAAAGUUCCCUUGGGUGUCUCUUGAGAAUUAAAGGAUGAUGUAGGCCACGUGUUUUGAUCUCUCACAAAAACUAUGAAAUGUUUUUUUUUCUGUUCAGACGUCUUUGCCAGGGACAUUUCAACAAAUUAACAAGGGCUCUGGUUGAAUAUGUGUGUGUAUGUGUUCCCACCUAAAAUGCAAAAACAACUGUUGUUCUUUUUGCUUCAUUAGGCUAAACAGACUUGAUAGAAGGCUGGCCUUUCCUGCUACUGAGUAAUCCCUUGUAAUAGGAAUGCAGCUGCCCAAGAACUAAUAGUUGCUAAUUAUCUCCCUCACCUAGCUCUCCAUUUAACCAUUUUUAACUCGGGUUUCCCCUCGGGUGGGUAGGAAACACUGGCUGACCAGAGGGGCCCCCAAUGCCCUGUCACUUGAUAGGCAAAGCCCAAACCUAUCUUUAUCCGCCAGGUUUUAGGAGCCCCACAGUGGGAAAUAGACAAAGCCAAAAGCCGGGGCACAGGGCGAAGAUGGGGGCACAGAUUGGGCAGAAGACUGCAUGGGAGCCACAAAGUGAAUGCUUGUCUGGCCACUGUCAAGGCCACUGCGUGCAGCACACAGUUCACUGCUGUAACCGAACCCAAGUUUGGCCGCUCGCCGCUCAUUAGCCAAUACAUCGAGAGGCCACGUGUCAGUAGAAAGGAAAGAUGCUUUCAUCAGAAAGCUGGCGAUCUCAGGAGUUGUUGGGCUCGUGUCUGGAGGCCAACUGCUCAGCCAUGACAGUUUUUAAAGGGAAAAAUGAGGGGGAAGAAUCUCGGUGAGUCAUCGAGGCAGGAGGCUGGAUUAUGCACCGUUCUCCAGUGUGUGCACACCGGCUGACCCUCUCUGCAGAUGGUAUCUUGCCCACAUGAGCUCUUGGAGGGGGGGUGGAAUGUUGAAAACGAUAGUGUCUGUGCUAGUCACGCCCCACUGCCCUUCACAAUCACCCGGAGAACAUUUAAAAAGCCCUGAUGCCUGGGGAAGGCCACGGGCAAUGAGACUUUUUGAAAAUUUCCCAAUGACUCCCCUGGACAGGGAGGGUUGAGAACCACUGCCCGAGAGUAGGAUUUCUCCACCUCAGCGCUGGCGAUGUUGCAGGUGGAGUCACUCUUUGCUGUGGGGGCUUUCCUGUGUGUUGUAGGAAGUUUAGCUGUGUCCCCGGGCCAUACCCACUAGAUGCCAUUAGCCCUCCCCACCCUAGUGGUGACAAGCGCUGAUUUCAGCCACCACCUUGGAGAAUCACUGUCAAAGGCACUGCAUGCAGAAUGUAGUUCCCUGCUGUAACUGAACCCAAGUUUGGCCACUUGCCGCUCAUUAGCCAGUACUUUGAGAGCCAAGUGUCAGUAGAGAGGAAAGCUGGCGGUCUUGGGAGUUGUUGGCCUCCUGUCCAGAGACCAACUCCAGAGCUUCUGUUCAGCCAUGACCGUUUCUAGAAGGAAAAAUGAGAGGGAACCAUCUCAGGGAAUCAUCCAGGCAGGAAGUCGGAUUCUGCAUCAGUCACCAUUGUGUGCACACCGGCUGACUCUCUGUUCAGAUGUUGUCUUGCCCACAUCAGCUGCUUGCAGGAUUGCUAAGGGAGGUGCCGGGGCUAGAAAGCUUCUCAUUCCCUCUUCAUUCUUAACUUCUUUUAAUCUAGGGAAAGGACCAACGGGAUAGGCAAGGCGUGGCGUGCAUUCAGGAGAGCCUAAGUCGGGAGUUCAGUGAAAUCGCAUUCCUAUAUUUAGGUUCUUUUAAGGCUAGAGGGGGACAGAAGUGGACAAAGAGAAAAGGGGGAAAAGAGCUGCUUUCAGUUCCCCCUGCUAAACAUCAUUCUGUUUCUAUGCGGUUAGGGGUGAAGGUCUGUCUUCUGUGACUUCUCCAUGCUGACACAGGGCACCAUGUGCUCAGACUGGUAGGUGUCGACAUGGGUCUGUAGCAUCUCUUUGCUGACCGUUUUGGUUACCUGCUUACACAGAUGGGCUGCCGAGCUACACUUAUUUUGAUGCCCACGAAGAUAGAGAUUAUUGCAAGCAAUAGUGUUCAAUCCAUUCUUUUGAGGCCGUUUCUUGAAAUUGUGCACACCACUCCGUUAGCUGGAAGUUCUUCGCUGUCCAUCCCCAGCUGUCUCUUCCAGACCCCUCCGCCUCCUUUGUAUAGCUCAUCACUUCGGAGGAGAGACCACCUCACGUCUCUACCUCCAAGCCUUUGCUCAUGUUUUCUUUGCCAUGAAACCCCUUUGUCUUAGUUCUUCCCUUGGAAAACUCACAAGUCAUCUUCAGGUUCAGUUCAAAUGUCCCUCCAACCCCCCACCCACCCACCCACCGCAGGCCUCUGGAUUCCAACCAAUCCUUGUUGGCCCACAGCAGUGACUACCUUUCUGUCACAUACUUGUCACCUUUUCUCCUAAGUGGUUGUUUCCUCUGCCAAAUGCAGAGCUCAUCAAGGUCAAGGAGUGGCUUUAUUCCUCUUUGUGUCACCAGAGGCUAGCACGACGAGGACACUCACAUUUCAAGGGGAACAAUUCAUCAACUAGCUGAUGAAUGGAAUGCCAUGACCAGACACACUUCACGCCGCCGCAGAAUUCCAGCACCCCACACCUCCAUGAAAUCACUGGCAUCUCUUGGGGGAAAUAACAUCAUCGGCCUUUUAUUUACUGAGCAGAAUGAGCAUAUCUGGGGGCUAGAUCAUUACUGGGAUCGAAGAUAAAUUCACUUAAAGGUUAUAUCUGUCAUGGGUGCGGCUCUAAAAAGCAAUAAAUAAAUAAAAUGAGUUACAUCUGAUGGGUUGAUCGUCACAAAGAAUAAGAAAAAAUAAAGAGGAAAUUUAUUGUUCUCUUAUGUGGAUUUCAUCUCUUAGGUCAGUUAAAGAAAACUAUCUCAAGAGAAAGAACUUUUUUUUUUUUUUUUUUUUAGAGCCACACCCGCAGCCUAUGAAAGUUCCCAGCCUAGGGGUCGAAUUGGGGCUACAGCUGCCGACCUACACCACGGCCACAGCAGCGCCAGAUCCGAGCCACGUCUGCGACCUACAGCACAGCUCAUGGCAACACCGGAUCCUUAACGCACUGAGCGGGGCCAGGGAUGGAACCUGCAGCCUCAUGGAUACUAGUUGGGUUUGUUACUGCUGAGCCACGACAGGAAUUCCAAGAGAAACAACACUUAAGUGAAGAAGAAAACAUAAUUUUGGUAAGAAUCAAGGAGAGAAAGAACACUGUGUUUUGAAAUUUUGAUUCUUUUUUUUGUCUUUUUGCCUUUUCUAGUUUGUCUGGGUACCAAACCCAGGAUUGCAUCUUACUCUCCCUUCCUCUUUCCCUCGGUGCCUAACGCAGUGCGCAGCACAGAAAUGGUGCUCAGCUCAACCACUUCCUCCGGGAAGCCUUCCUUGACUCCCCUGGGACUGGUUUGAUCCCUCCAUUAUGAUCCCACAGCACCAGGCACACCAUUUCAUCAUGCACUUACCGCGUUGUAUUAUAUACCGGCUCCUGGAUGUGACUGUGUUUUCUCCUGAGGUCAGAAACUAUGUCUUCUUUGCGUCCUCAUGGCCCAUUAGAGCAUCUGGCACCACAAAUAAGUCUUUGAUAAAUAAAUACAUCUUGGGCAGCAGGCUGUCCAGGAUUUAAUGGAGAACAACCAUCUGUCUUUGCGUUAGUAAACAGUAUCAGUGGGAACUUGGAGAAUUUGGAAUGCAAAGUGGGGAAAUGUUUUAAGGAUAAAUUUAUCGAGAUUUAAAAAAAAACAAACAAGCAAAAAAAAAAACUUUGGUGUUACAUGACCUGAAUGAAGACAUAGCAAUCAUUAAACAAUUCUAGAAAGUAGAGACAAUUCUAGAAAAAGAAUCCUUGCAAGAUUGCUUUUAAACCUGUUGAUUUUGAUGCAAUGAAGAAAUACUGAGGACUUAGUAGAAGCAAAUAAGCAUGCCAAGAGAGAAAAGAAAAAACACUUCUGCCAGUUAACGUUUCCUAAUUCUAUGACCUGAUGAUUCUGAACACCUACAUAAGGUAUUUUUAAACCUUGGCAGUCAGGCUGGAUAGAUUUCCCUGAAAAACCAGGCACUGUGGAGUGAGAAUGUGCAUGGCGUUCUUUCGUCCAAGUUUCCAUACAAACCAGUGCCCCACUGGGUCGUUUUGAGAUUGAAGCCAUUGGUUUAUGGCCUCUUCGCAGAGUGGACUGGACGAUCGUGUGCCACUUGGCACUUUGCAGGGGGCAGGAUCGUUCUGUUUUAUGAUCUGUCUGUUUUUCUAGUGCCGGAUGGUUAAUUGCCUUUCUUAAGCGCAUGCACCCUCCCAGAAAGGGUGAGAGGAAAGGACCCUGGAAAGAGAGCCUCCCCCAGCGCAGGCUGAGCUGCUGGACACUCGGUGGGCUUGGUGACUGGGCCUGAAAGCCUUUUCAGACACACAAAACCCCUGGCUUCUCCAUUAGCAUAUCAGAGGUGGUGCAGUGGUGGGAAACGCUGCAGGCGACAAAGGACACAGUUCAGGGACAUUACCUCAUUGGUGCUUACAAAAGCAGAAAAAAUGAUAAGCAGGCCAGGCCUGCAGUGACAGACAGAUGUUGCCCUAUUUUCUUGAGUGACCAAGGUCUAUCUGCCCCCACCUCCUGAACUUGAUCUGGAACCAAGCCUGCCCAACCCUCUCCAAAGGCACAAGUCUUAGACCAGGAUACAAGGAAGAGGCUCGUCCCAGUUAGAACCUCUCUCUGGCUAAAAUGGAGAUAGCUUUAACUUCACAAUGAACUUGAAUUUUAAAUGAAGUUCAAUUGAAAACGAAGAAGGAAGUUCCCAUUGUGGCUCAGUGGGUUGUGAACCUGACUAGUACCUAUGAGGAUGUGAGUUCCAUUCCUGGCCUCGCUCAGUGGGUUAAGGAUCUGGCAUUGCCGUGAGCUGUAGUGUAGGUCACCAGUGCAGCUCGGAUCUGGUGGCUGUGGUGUAGGCUGGCAGCUGUGGCUCCGAUUCGCCCCCUAGCCUGGGAACUUCCAUAUGCCGAGGAUGGGGCCCUAAAAAGGAAAAAAAAAAAAGGUGAAGAAUCUUUGACCUCAGUCAGAACUGGAAGGGAUUUGCCAUUUUUUUCCGACUUGAAAACCUAAUUGGAAACAUAAUUGGAUAAUAAACAGGAGGGGUCGGCGGGCGCUUCCUAAUAUCAUCCCAAGGCCUCGCCUCAGGAAGCAGCCUUCUUUGUGUUUUAUACUGAAAGGGAGAAAAGGCGUUCAGAGUGAAAGGAACUUCACGUUCUCAUUGUCCUGAGUGCUCUCCCUUCUCUGAAGUGUGAGGCUGGUGUUCUGGGCUCUAUGGCAGUGCCUCUCAACCAGGGCUCCAGUGCCCACUGGACACUGGGCAGCAUCCGGAGACAUCUUUGGCUGUCCCAGGUAAGGGGUGUGUGUGCUGCUGGCAUCUCGUGGGUAGAGGCCAGGGAGGCUGCCACUCAUCCUGCAGCCUCCCGACAACAAAGAGCUAUUUGGCUCAAAAUGUCAUUCCCGGAGUUCCCGUUGUGGCUCGGUGGAUUAAGAACCUGACUGGCAUCCAUGAGGACUCGGGUUUGAUCCUUGGCCUCGCACGGUGGGUUAAGGAUCCGUUAUUGCCAUGAACUGCAGGGUAGGUCACAGACCCAGCUUGGAUCCGGCAUGGCUGUGGCUGUGGCUGUGGCUGUGGCUGUGGCUGUGGUGGAGGCCGGCAGUUGCAACUCCAAUUUGACCCCUAGCCUGGGAACUUCCAUGUGCUGCAAGUGCAGCCCUAAAAAG